GGACAAGGCACACAGAUCUCUGUCCUCUGAGAGAGGAUGAUGCCUAGCAGACUCAGGAGGAAUGAGAGAUGCUUUUGCUUCCUUCCCUCUACUAUGUACCAUCUGAGAAAGCUACCUUGAUCUCAUGGCCUGGGUGGCUCAGCCUGGCAGAAGUUAUUAGUCGUAUCUCUGUAAUUAUUCUUGCCAUCACAUCUGCCUUCUCCUCCUCCUUCUUUAGUUUGAGAAUGAGGAUCCAUCCAGUGAUCAGAUUUAAAAUCUUCAAGGGUUCCCCAGCCCCCUUUCCCCUCCCAUCAAAGUUUACUCACCUCUUAGGGAACCGAGAGACGAGGAUGGAGUGUGUCCAGCCGUUGCUGAUGGGCCCCAAUAUAUAGGGGGCAGGAGUGUCAGCCACCCCCUCUUUUCCCCAAACAUUUCAAAAUACCUUGGCUGCAAAGGGGGCACAGAUUCUCACCCCCUCCCAAGCUGACGUAAAAAAACUACGGUUGGAUGUUUGUGCUAGGUGGGAAGUGGCCUACCUCUGAGCGUCACUGCAAACACCCAGACGGGUUGCCUGUCUCCACCAGCCGUGUUAUCUGUGUUUCUGACAAAAUAAAGUGGAAGAACUGGAAACGCCGAUGAGAAUCAGAGCAAGCUAAGUUCACACACGGAAGGCUUUCCAACAAGGCUCUGAAUCCAUCCCCCUUCAGAAUGGUUCUUUCGCAAGAGAACACUUUUAACUCAGCUGUCAGGGAUGACCUGGCAGCAGGAAUGCAGGAGCUCACGUUCCUUGUGAGGCUUCUGCUCCUCCCGUGGCCAUACGAUGAGGAGACCUGCGGUCAGUCCCGCCAUCACGUCACCAAAGCAUCCCGCCAUUUUUCCGAGGCUGGACAGAAGCUGGAAGCCCACCUGCUGCUGGUCGAUUCCCAGAUGGAGGCCCUGGUCACAGUAAAGAAACUCAUGCAAGAUGAUCUGCAGGAGAAGAAAGAGGACUUGGCAGACCUGAGGACCCAGAUCACUGCCCUCCAAGAAGCUCACAAGAAAUCCCAGGAAAUGCUGGAAGCUGCAGAGUCACACCUAGAAAGCACAAGGGAGCAGCUUCGAUUGGCCCACAAGGAAGUGGUGAAGAACCGUGCAGGGCGGGAAAUCGGCAUCCGGUUGAUGAUCCCGCCAGGGCUGGGAUCACUCAUAGGAGCCGGCUUGGCAGUCGGUUACCAAGCGGCUCUGGACUCGGCUAAGAAUCUCGUCGCUGAGGCCCAAAACGCCGUGAACCAGAGUUUAGCGGAAAUUGCCGGACACAAGGAUGAGAUGGCGCGCUUGUCCCAAAAGGAGCAAGAGGUGCAGGCUGGGAUAAACACCACAGACCAGAAGUUCUCCCAGAUUCAAGCUCAGUACGAGGAAGUGCUUGCUUUCCAGAGGGAGGUGACAACACAGCAAUCUUAUAUCCGAAAAUGCCUUUCAGUCUUAGAUUUACUGGCAGGGAAGAUUCAGGCAGCCGCCGUCCUGUCCAGCCAUGCCUGUAUCCCGGAGUUCCUGGUGGACAUCUUAGAGGAAAUCGGGGGAGUGGUAGGAGGGCAGGAGGGGGCAGCAUUCCACAGCGAUAAGGAAAUCCAGGCCUCAGUCCUAGAAAUAAACAAAGCAGUAACAUCUUUGAGGGCCAGAUCUGGGGAGAAGUUGCCUGUUGAUUCCUGAGGCCUCCAUGACCUCCUCCCCUCACAGAGAUUUUAUUUUAACCAAUACUGCAUCCAUGUUUUCAUUCCAUUUGCCUGGAUUUACUGUAUACUGUGCGUAAAGGAUAAACGCUGAAAUGUACCUGCAGGUUUUAGAUGUGCCUUUUGCUACUACACUAUUGGUUGUAAACUAAGUCUCAACUUUGGUAGGGCAUGCGGCAUUUCUAAAAACCUGACGACGUUCAGGCUGAGAUAUCAUAGACAGCCUGUGAUUGGGUUCGUUAGAAGGCUGGAGCAGUUCCUCCUUUUUGGUGGGAAAUAACCACGGAGAUUCUUUUGAAAGAUUAACCGGUUCAUUUGCUUUAACAUUUGGUGAUUCAACAAUAAUCACGCUCAGGGUGGUCGCAUAGACCAGAUGGGCGGGAUACAAAUCAAAUCAAAUCAAAUCAAAUCAAAUCAAAUCAAAUCAAAUCAAUCAAUCAAUCAAUCAAUCAAUCAAUCAAUCAAUCAAUCAAUCAAUCAAUCAAUCAAAUAACUUUUACAGGAUCAAAACAACUAAGGUCACGUAAUUGUCCAUAAUGUGAAGAUGAAAAUCUAGACUGUAAAUUAGGGAAAUUUAUUGAGGGAAUGGUCCAAACCGCUCCUUGUCCGUGGGCUUCCUCAGUGUAGCACUCUGCACUGUGCAUAUCAUCUGCAACAAGGGUGUCUGGCCCAGUCUCCCUCUCGCGGUGGUUGAUUGAAGGUCGGAUCCGGUCUGAUUACCUUCCUCCGACGACCUUGCCCUUGGGGAAAGACUACCACAGUCCAUUUUUGAGUCUCCGUUACAGUUACUUUCUCCUCUUUUGGAUAUGGGUGCGGUAAUAACCCUCCUAUUUUUAAGUCAGGAAAGCCCUCUAAUAGCGCCCACACUUUCCCGUAUCUGAGCUCCUCAUCCUUCGUUUCUCUCUCUCUUCUCCAAUAUUUCUAUUCGAGGGGACAGCUCACUCUGUUCUUUCUCUCUUUUUCCUAUUUCUCCUUCACACAGCCCUAAUUUCGAGGUGAGCAGCAUGCUGCUCCUAGUAGCCCAAAUGCUUCUGCUAGCACCUGCACCAUUUUUAAUAAAAAAAAAUGGGCUCAAAAUUCCCA
rnacentral:lncRNA from 1 species